AGAGAGAGAGACAGACAGAGAGAGAGAGAGGAGGGGACAGACCUCGUUGACAACAACGAUAUUCCUCAAGUUUGUAUACAAUGCAACUAUCGAAGAUAGAUCAAAAUAAUUGUAUUAAUUGCCAGAAUAACAACAAUUCUGAUAAAAAUGAUGACGAUAACAAUAAAACAAACAAAAAAGAUAAUACACAAAAUGUGAGAAGAAAACAUUAUUCGAAUGUAUUGUUGUAUGCAAUACAUAAUCAGGAUGAUCUGCGAUAAAAGUAACGGCGAUGCUGACGAUGAGCUUAACGAAGUCGAAGACGAAGAAACUGAAAGGGAACGCACCAAGGUACAAAAAGAAAGAAGAACAAAGGAUGGAGUUGCCUGGUUUGGUUGGUCGAUCAGAGAAACAGAGACGCUAAAUGAGAGAGAGAAAAAGAGACAGAAAUAGAGACACAGAAAGAGAAAGAGUAAGAACAUGAUAGAGAGGCAAAUAGAAGGAAGGAGAGCGAGAAGGGAGAUAUACGCGAAAUGGUAGCGAUCUAAAAUUCGUCGUCAUGGCAGAAGAUCGAGAACCGAGCGAGAAAAUGUUGCCAAGCAUUGCGGAGGCCAGGGGAGCGGAUCAGCUGUUCGCCUCGGCAAUGACAACAUUGGACACACGCACGACCCCCCCGUAGUGACUUUGACGCGCGUUUCAUAGCAAACUCAUUUACUGUCAAACGAUGCAUUGACUUACCUCGAGCCUGGUGCGCCCGGAGUGUAUCAUCCUUUUGCGUCGCGUUAUUUUGCAAAGCUUACGGGAAUACCCGCACGGUUUUACG